GUGCUUGCUUCAGCACCACAUAUACUAAAAUUAGAACAAUAUAGAGAAGAUUAGCAUGGCCGCCUGACAAGGAUGACAUGCAAAUUCGUGGAAAUUAAGAAAAAUAA
rnacentral:snRNA from 1 species